rnacentral:lncRNA from 1 species
GAAAAACUGCAGAUUUAUUCAUUGCUUCAAAUAGCUGAAGAAUCAGCUUGCACAAAAGGUACAAUAGGACUUGGACCAUCCUCAACCCAAAUAUAAUCCACAGAAUAAACAGACAAAGCUAAUGACAGUAACUGAUGAGCAACCUUGUUGCAUGAUCUAGGAACAUAACUAAAAGAAAAAAAAUUUGGAAAUUAGACGCUAAGUCGCUAAUUCUGCUUAACAUGGUUCCCCAUUCAGUUGGGGGAAAAUUCUUAGAGGCAUAUUGUCGAACACGUGAGACAGAUAAUUAGGAGUCUCCAAAGCGAAAAUCACAGCAUCCGCUUCAACAUCUUGGACCUCAAGAAUUCCUAGUCUUCUUACACCAGACGCCAUCAAUCCUCCCUUCCUAUUUCGUAUCACAAAUCCCAGCCCACACCGAUUUUGAACUUUCAGAUCACCAACAUCGCAGUUUAUUUUAACCACGUUAUCAGCAGGAGGGGUCCAUCUUGAUUACGACUCAACUACCACAAAGUUCCCAGAGACCAUACUUGACAUUUGGUAGUCGUAAACCAUAGACAGUGCUUGAUUUUCCAAAGAGAGGUCCGAUUGCUGUCAACAACCACACAUUCCUAGCUUUCAAAAUGCUCCAAGCCGUUGCCACUACAGUUUCCAGUCGCUCAGACUGAAGAGAAUUGACAAGAUUAAACAGGAAGUAGAUUCUUCCUCCUUGUCCCGGCUAAAACUCUGUUUUAUUUUUCACGGUAGAGCUAGAAAAGAAAUUUUCUAAUCCUAAUAAUUAUUUAAAUUGUGAGCAUUGUGUACAAAACUUAUUUAUUUCUGUUUGAACUCCGUAGCUAUAGGAUUAUAAAAACUCUUAUUAUAGGAUUAUGAUAACUCCAAUUUUG